CCGACCGGAGACAUUAUUAGCUGAACGCGUCUUGAAACCUGAUGCUAAGUAGCUCUGCAGGAUCUCUGGGAUCCUGAGGCUUUUUAGUCUUUGAGUACGCGAAAUCCCUUUCUCUCUGUCUUCAAAUUAAAUAUAGAAUUCACAAGGAAUCAACGGACCUUAGGGAGAGCCCCAGUCACUUCAGAUACCAGCACGCAGGAUCUUAGUUCCUGGACCGGGGAUCCAAUCUGUGCCACCUGCAAUAGAAGCUGGAUUCUUAACCACUGGACCACCAGGGAAGUCCUUCUGGUAUCUAUCUAUUUAGUAAGUCACAACCAAGCACCAUUCAGCCUGUCUCCUACUAUCACAAAGCUACAUUUCUAGCUCCAGCUGGUACAGAAUGAGUGCUUUACUUUAACCUCAGACUUUCCCUUUAUUUUCUAUGGAAAGGGUAACGUAGACCAUCUUGCGGAAAAGAGGAUGGAGGUGGUGUUUUAUUUGGAUUUCUGUGUGUUUUUGCUUUACUUCUCUGUAAAUAUAUGUUUCCUGUAAAUGUUUCACAAGGAGAAAGUGCCAAGGCCCCUAAGAAACUACUUUGAAAGUGGAAAAUCUUUUCUUGGCUUAAUGUAGCCUAACAGAUGGACACCCACUGCUUUAUUUGGGAAGAACUGCACGGGGCUUUCUCUCUUUUUCUCACUUUUAAGAGUACUAGAAGAAAGAAAUGAUUUACUCAUGUCAUCAGAGUUCCCACAUCUUUGUUAAAGGAAAUAAAAAAUCACCCAGGAAACUUAGUGUAUCUUCCAAAUCUAGUCAUACAUAAAAAUGGACUUUUAGGAUUUUCUAGACUUAAUUUGAUGCAUUAUGUAGCCAUUCUCUCAUUUCAGUAUGAUUUUUGGGGGAAAAAACUGGAAAAGUAAAAACAAGAUAAGGACUGGUGGAGGGCAUUUAAGAAACGUUAAAAAAAUAUGAGAUUAGUAUCUAAUUUCUUUUAUCCCAGCUAAAACUGUUAAGUUCAAGAAAUUGACUUCUAUAUACUUAAUAUUUUUUAUAACAUAUAAUGAUUAAGAAGCCCCAAAGGGCCUAGUUAGGAGAUGUCUAGGAUUUUGUCUGUUUAUUAAUUUGUUCAUGUAUGACUGCUGAAAUUCCACUCAUCUUUCUACGCUCAGCUUAACUAACAUCAGCUCUGGGGAAGCCCUCCUUUACUCCUCCUACCUUUUUGUACUUCUCUCCUUCAGGCCUCUCCUCUGGUCAGCAUUUUGUGUUAACUUUAUUAUAGUCCUUAUCACAUUCUCCCAUUAGUGUAUUUUGGAAUUCUUUGUUCUCAGCACAGUGCCUGGCAUAUAAUAGGUUUCUAACUAGCGAAGGUUAACCUUAUUUACUGUUAUAAGAAUUAUUUAUCUUUUUCACAGUGUUUUUCUGUGAUCCUUUGAAUCUAAAAAUGCUAUGGUUGGAAGGAAUCAUUUAUAAUGUUUCAGAGUAUGGGUGGGUGUCAUAUGAUUUCUAAAAUACAUAUGUAAUUUUCUAAGUCUCAAUGUCCUUAUCUGUAAAAGGGAGAACUGCUUAUCUUACAGGUAGUUGAGAACUUCACUUAUUAGCUGUGUGAUCCCAUUUCCUCGUCUUUAAGUUUGAGUUAUUGAGAGGAAAGAUGUGAUACUUCAUAUAAACUGCACAGAGCAGUGUAUGCUAAUAGUAAGCACUCAGUGAUAACUAUCAGGGCUUCCCUGGUGGCUCAGAUGGUAAAGUGUCUGCUUGCAAUGAGGGAGACCCCGGUUCAAUCCCUGGGUUAGGAAGAUCCCCAGAGAAGGAAAUGGCAACCCACUCCAGUACCCUUGCCUGGAAAAUCCCAUGGACAGAGGAGUAUGGUAGGCUACAGUCCAUGGGGUCCCAAAGAAUUGGAUAACUAUUAUUAUUAACAACGAAAUGAAAUAUUAACAAUGAUUUAUGUUAAUAAGUGACAAUAAAA